GGUCCUGAAAGAUGGCCGCGGGGAGUCUUCUUAAAAUUCACAUACGGAGACCAACUUGGACCAAUCACAUUCCUGUUGGUUAAUGCAGUUGAACCAAUGGAAUGUAGUGAUGUGAGUGUUGAAAUGAUCUCACCUGCAAGUGACGGCAUAUAUCAAGCACAGUGGAGAAUGUGCACACCCAUGGGGCAAUAUUUUGGUGGUAAGUUUUAUAAAUUACUGGGAAAAUAACUUACAGUAUAAGACAUCUGCGUGAAGGACUUUGGUCAAACUGAAUUAUUU